rnacentral:rRNA from 1 species
UACGUAGGGUGCAAGCGUUGUCCGGAAUUAUUGGGCGUAAAGAGCGUGUAGGCGGCCCGAUUAGUCCGCUGUGAAAGUCCAGGGCUCAACCCUGGAAUGCCGGUGGAUACUGUCGGGCUAGAGUCCGGAAGGGGCGAGUGGAAUUCCUGGUGUAGCGGUGGAAUGCGCAGAUAUCAGGAGGAACACCGGUGGCGAAGGCGGG